rnacentral:misc_RNA from 1 species
GAUGAAGAACGUAGCAAAAUGCGAUAAGUAGUGUGAAUUGCAGAAUUCAGUGAAUCAUCGAAUCUUUGAACGCACAUUGCGCCCGCUGGUAUUCCGGCGGGCAUGCCUGUUCGAGCGUCAUUUCAACCCUCAAGCUCUCCGGAGUUUGGUGUUGGGGCGCCUGGGGCUUUUCGACCUCAGGGCCCUCAAGUCCAUCGGCGGGACCGCCAGGACACUGAGCGCAGUAGUAUUAUUUCGCUCGGUAGGAUCUUCCACGGCGGGUCGAUCUGGCCGCUAAACCCCCCAAUUCUCACCAAAGGUUGACCUCGGAUCAGGUAGGAAUACCCGCUGAACUUAAGCAUAUCAAUAAGCGGAGGA